UAUCCAACAAAAGAUUGAAACGUGGCAGGUGAAGACUCGAUAUCUUCUCCGAAACUGUUUUCAGUAGCGCAGCGAUCCUUUUCCUUUUUCAUGAUUCACACAAACAUGAUAAGGGGAAGGAUUUUAUCAAUGACGGAGAUACAAUUAGUAGAUGUUUCAGAUCAACAUCAAACCAGGUGUCGACUUCCCAUUGAUCUUAAAUUCUUAAUUUUCUCUACUUGAAGAGUAUUAUAUGUGAUUUAUGUGAGUCCUUUAAGAGAUCGGAGACUGCAAUAUGUGCUUGAUUUUAGAAUAUCAUCACUGAUAAUUUUUAUUUUCAGUUUUGAAUUUUUUGACGUAGCAAAAUAGAUGAAGGCUGUUACCUGAUGGAUCCUUGAUCUGUUGGUUUUUUUAGAAAUUUUGGAAUCAUAGGAGCUUAAAUCUUUUCGUUAUUAAUCUGUUAAAUGAUCUCUGACUCUGUGUUUAAAAAGUAUCCAAAUCUCGUCCGGAUGGAUGCUUCCUCCUCUUGUUGAUGGGGACGAAUCUGAUUCUUCACCAAUUUGUAAUCGGAAGCGUAAAGGAAACGACUCGACACCUUUUACCUUUGAUAUAAUAUUCUCGAAUUUUUCUGAACUUGAUUUCUAUGCUUCAUAUCUGAAAUCUGAUCUGGUGUUAACGGCGCUGAUGAAUUUGUGUUUUCAUAGAAUCGCCAACUUAGGUAUAUUGUAAUUUAUGAGCAAAAUCUGUUCGUCUUAGAUCUGUUACAUGAUCUAUUUUGUGAAGAAAUAAAAGCUUCCAUGUCUUGUUGGUGAGGAUGAAUUCGUUCCUCUCCAAUUCGUAAACGGAAGCAAAAGAUAAACGUAAACUGCUCUUGAUUCACUUCUGCUUUGCAAUCUCUAUGCAACUGCAGUUCAGGCUGAUUCUCGACAUUC